AAAUUAGGGGCAGAAAUCUGAACUCAGGUGGAGGGCAGUACCAGCACGUCCCUGUGAGGAAAAGGACGCGGGCUUCCUAUGGGAAGGCAAGUACUGUACAAGCUAUGGUGCUCAUCUCAAGGAUUUUAUUUCUCAAGCUGAGACAGCAUAAAGACACACUGAAGAUAAAUCAUGGACCAUAUAACAAGAACAGGUGAAGACAUGCUGAUAUGAAAAUAACACAGAAGUGUUUCAAAUCUUCUCCCAAGAGGUGGAAAGAUGUGGGUGCUGUGUCCUCCUACAUCACCAAUGGUUUGGAGCCCUGCUUGCAGAAGAGUGGCCAGAUACGGGGGCUGCACUGUGCUGCAAUAAGGAAGUGGUGUGGUUGGAGGUGGUUAUGAAUCAUUAAGUAUGAGUUGUGAAACAUGAAUUUGGACAUAGAACAGCUUCCCACCUGUCCAAAAGUAGAUACACAGUCUGUCGUAGGGUAGGAUAUUAGGCUUGUGCCUCUUUCAGCAUUUUAGCAAGUCAGAGUUUGUGGUACGCUGUAGAUCCCAUCUCGCAGUAUCUAAAUUCCUUCACUAUCUAGGGCAGGGAGCUUAGGCAACUACCUGAAGAGUUUUGGUUACCUUAAGAACGGAAUAACUGAACGUAGGUUUUCAUCUAUGCACGUCAAUAAAAUGCACUUCCGUGCUCUAGAUCCUUUCAUCUCUCUACCCUUAAGUAGCAGUUUAUAGGUGAUAAGACAAACUGGCAUUAAAAAAAUGACAGGAGCAAAAAGUGUGAAUUUUGUACUGGCCCCACCAGCCUUGCCUUCUGGUUUUAGCUGUCAGUUAAAGGAUCCUGAUGGAGAACAACCUUGUUUGUCCACGUAGGCCAUCAAACAUAAGGUCAUUGUCUAAUGAAGCAAUUAUCUUUCAUUAUUUAAUUAAGGAACAGUGCAUGUGUAUACAUGACUGUGUGCACGGGAAACUUGUCCAGGAGGUACAAGAGGGUGUCAUUAUGUUCAAUGAGUAUUUGCUUGAAUAGAAAGCAAGGAAAUAACUGAGAAGAUGAGAAUGUGACAUUUUAUUCGGUUGAAAGUUCUGCUAUUUCAAAAAACAAAACAAACAAACAAACAAAAACCCUAAAAAAAAGUACAAAUAAAUAAUCCUAAAU
ensembl:lncRNA